CAUCAGAGUGCUUUCUAGGAUUUGAAACACUGAUGAAUUGAUAAUGUGGCUCACUCAGCUACUCAAGAACUGUGAAAUGGAACUUCUCACCUGGAAAUUCCCUUUUCGAGGUGGUAACAAUUUCAGAAGAUUUUUAUAGGAAGAAGCCUAUUUUUUAAAAAAGCUUGAUGGGCUAUCAGAAUGGUUUCUGAAAGCUGUGGACCCCUCAUUUCUGAACAGCUCGGAAGGGGCUUAUUAACCAUUUCCCCAUUUCGUGGGUGAAGGGAAUGGAAAGAGUCACAUCCAACUCUUUGUGAAUCUUGUUGGGGUUUUCUUGGCAAAGAGAGUGGAGUGUUUUGCUGUUUCCUUCCCCAGUCCAUUUUACAGGUGAGGAACCUGAAGUAAACAGGGUUAAGCCAUUUGCCCAUAAUCACAUCUAGGAAGUGUCUGAGGCUGUUCUUGUUUCAGGCCUGGUGUUCUAGCUACAUUACUUUAACAUUUUUAGUCAUUUCUUUAUGUACUUUCUAUUCCUUCCCAACCAAUGACCUUCAACAUACAAUAAAGAAAAACAGGCAAGUAAAACUGACACAGAUACUUUAUUAUUAUUUUUUUCAAUGAUCAAGCAUUUAUUUUCUUUCUUCUUCCUCUGCCUCCCACUGGAAAAAAGAAAAACUUGUAACAUAUGCAUAGUCAAGAACAUUUCCAAGUUUUUCAUGUUAAAAAAAAUAUGCCUUAACAAUUCUGAGCGACUUAGGAGAAAGAAUGCUACCCACAUCUAGAGAAAGAACUGUGGGAGUAGAAAUACAGAAGAAAAACAACUGCUUGAUCACUUGGGUCGAUGGAGAUAUGAUUGGAGAUGUAGACUCUUAAACAUCAUCCUAGUGCAAAUAUCAAUGGUAUGGAAAUGGGUCUUGAUCAAUGACACAAGUAAAACCCAGUGGAA